GAUGAACGCUGGCGGCGUGCCUAAUACAUGCAAGUCGAGCGAACAGACGAGGAGCUUGCUCCUCUGACGUUAGCGGCGGACGGGUGAGUAACACGUGGAUAACCUACCUAUAAGACUGGGAUAACUUCGGGAAACCGGAGCUAAUACCGGAUAACAUGUUGAACCGCAUGGUUUAACAGUGAAAGACGGUCUUGCUGUCACUUAUAGAUGGAUCCGCGCCGCAUUAGCUAGUCGGUAAGGUAACGGCUUACCAAGGCAACGAUGCGUAGCCGACCUGAGAGGGUGAUCGGCCACACUGGAACUGAGACACGGUCCAGACUCCUACGGGAGGCAGCAGUAGGGAAUCUUCCGCAAUGGGCGAAAGCCUGACGGAGCAACGCCGCGUGAGUGAAGAAGGUCUUCGGAUCGUAAAACUCUGUUAUUAGGGAAGAACAAAUGUGUAAGUAACUAUGCACGUCUUGACGGUACCUAAUCAGAAAGCCACGGCUAACUACGUG
rnacentral:rRNA from 1 species